UAGGGAAUCUUCCACAAUGGACGCAAGUCUGAUGGAGCAACGCCGCGUGAGUGAAGAAGGUUUUCGGACCGUAAAGCUCUGUUGUUGGUGAAGAAGGAUAGAGGUAGUAACUGGCCUUUAUUUGACGGUAAUCAACCAGAAAGUCACGGCUAACUACGUGCCAGCAGCCGCGGUAAUACGUAGGUGGCAAGCGUUGUCCGGAUUUAUUGGGCGUAAAGCGAGCGCAGGCGGAAGAAUAAGUCUGAUGUGAAAGCCCUCGGCUUAACCGAGGAAUUGCAUCGGAAACUGUUUUCUUGAGUGCAGAAGAGGAGAGUAGAACUCCAUGUGUAGCGGUGGAAUGCGUAGAUAUAUGGAAGAAUACCAGUGGCGAAGGCAGCUCUCUGGUCUGCAACUGACGCUGAGGCUCGAAAGCAUGGGUAGCGAACAGGAUUAGAUACCCUGGUAGUCCAUGCCGUAAACGAUGAGUGCUAAG
rnacentral:rRNA from 1 species